rnacentral:rRNA from 1 species
CCUACGGGGUGCAGCAGUCGAGAAUCAUUCACAAUGGGGGAAACCCUGAUGGUGCGACGCUGCGUGGGGGAAUGAAGGUCUUCGGAUUGUAAACCCCUGUCAUGUGGGAGCAAAUUAAAAAGAUAGUACCACAAGAGGAAGAGACGGCUAACUCUGUGCCAGCAGCCGCGGUAAUACAGAGGUCUCAAGCGUUGUUCGGAAUCACUGGGCGUAAAGCGUGCGUAGGCUGUUUCGUAAGUCGUGUGUGAAAGGCGCGGGCUCAACCCGCGGACGGCAGCUGAUACUGCGAGACUAGAGUGAUGGAGGGGGAACCGGAAUGCUCGGUGUAGCAGUGAAAUGCGUAGAUAUCGAGAGGAACACUCGUGGUGAAGGCGGGUUCCUGGACAUUAACUGACGCUGAGGCACGAAGGCCAGGGGAGCGAAAGGGAUUAGAUACCCCAGUAGUC